AGUACCACAAAACCCCUCUGGAAUGGAUUCGGGUGUAAAUUGCACAGGAUGCCAAAUGGAGAAAAGUCCUGACAAACAGCAGGAGCACUUGUGGGAAAGAUGCAGUUAUGUUCAGCAGGCAGCUGUCUUUUCAAAAUGUUUUACUGACUGUUUCAGGCUGUUAAAGAACUGGGAAAAGAGUCAGAUGUUUCAAUAAGCUAUCUCAGAAGCAAUUGCAGAUAUGCCUUAUUAAUCCUAAGAAGCAAUGCCAUCAAGAAAGAACACUACCUUAAUAAUUGUGAACAAGGUGGUAUGAGCAUAUGGUAGGUUUCUUAGUUGACAAUUGAUAUUGGGGGAAUGUUUUUUAAAGAUAGUGUAUAUACAUACACACACACACACUCUGCAAGAUUGCUCAGUCAUUUGUAAAGUUUAAAUUGGGCUUAUCUAAAGUAGGACAUAGAACAUCACGCCUCACCAAGCAAUUCCCUUGUUUGGUGGCUGACUGGGGGCUUAGAAACGUUCACUACUGAUUUCUUGACAAAACAGUUUUACUGUUACAUAAGGAAAAGGCUGUCAGUAGGUAGCCCAAGAAGAAAAUUCCUUCACUGUUCCCAGAGCGUGGCCAGGUUCAGAACUGGAUGAAACACCAAGGAAAAUGCUCCCACCAUUAUGGCCCAAUGACAAGACUUAACCUUCAACAAACCCACUCACUAAGAAGCCAAUAGUGAUGAAAUAUUUGGUUUUGUCAAUCAAGAAGAUUCAGGGCAAGCUGUUGAAAUCUGAGCUGCCAAACCCCUGGAGUGUUUUGUUGUUUUGUUUUGUCUGGGGAUAGAGUCUGUUCUCCAGUUUCUACAGAUGUCAGGAAUAUUCCUGUGCUGUGGUUUCUCCCUUCCUCUUCCUGGGCAUACUGGAGAUCUGAUGGUGGAGAGAGAGGAAACUUGGCCACAUGAUUUUCAGUCACUUACCACGGCUACUCCUUACUAUGCAUUAAUUCACAUGUAAUCAUGUAUUAAAUCAUAUGCUUCUUCAUCUGCAAA